CUGGGUCUUCUCCCGCCCUCAGUCUGCACUUACCACUAUCACCUUCCCUGAUUCUCAGGUCUUCUGACUCAAACUGGAACUACACCACCAUGUUUCCUGGGUCUCCAGUUGGCAGAUGGUGGUUUGUGGAAUUUCUUAGACUCCCUAACCACAGAAACCAAUCAAUCCUUUCUAUAUAAAGUGAUUUAUUGUAAGUAUGUAUAUAUCUACCCCCAAUAUCUACAUAUUGUAAGUAAGUAUAUAUCACAUAUAUCUAUAUAUAUGUGUGAUAUAUGUGACCCCAAUUGCUCCUGCUCCACCAGUGACUCCUGCAUGUGUGCUGACUCCUGCAAAUACAAGGAGUGCAAAUACCCUGCAAGAAGACCUGCUGCUCCUGCUGCCCUGUGGACUGUGCCAAGUGUGCUCAAGGCUGUGUCUGCAAGGAGAGAGAGGAGCUGAAUAAGCAGAUUAGGUCCUCUCAAUGCCAGCAUGAUGAGUUCAGCAAAGGCUGGGAAAUGCUUGUUUUAAUACAUUUUGUUCCAGCUUCAUGUAGACUUUAAACUUUUCAAAACACACUCAUGUUUGUGCUCUCAUAUGUACUUCAUACCACUACUUCUGUGAGAUUGGUUGGACUGAUUUCAAUAUCUCCAUUUCUAGAUGAGAAAACACUGAGAUACCAAAACCCCUGCCACCCUUUCAGUGACACCAAAGCCAAACUGGACCUUCAGCAAGGUAUUCUGACCCCUGCCCAGUAGUUACCACUGCCAACGUUCUCCUCCUCAGGGUUACAUGGCUCAGCCUCAGUAGGGGCUCUCAGCUGUGCUGUGGCCAAUAAGAAUGAAUAUGUGAGUGUAGAUCCAUUUAUGAAAUCCAACAUCUUAAGAGGAUGCCAUUGUAGAGGAGGAAAAAUAAUUUUCCCUCUUCCCUUCUGAGUUCUUAGCUGAAACCCUAUAAUGAAAAACAGAUUAACAAAGUAAAACGGAAGUUUAUUAACAUGUAUGUCUCCUUUAUACAGGGGAGAUACCCAGGGAAAAAUGAAUAACUCAAAGAAGUGGCUUAAAAUUCAGGCUUAAAUAUCCUACUCAGGAAAGAGUAGACCUCUUAGGAAAGAGUAAAUGAUUUUUAGGAAAGAUGAAUGCGCUUGUAGAGAAAAAGAUGGAUGGUAUAAUAGUUUGUGACAAAGUAUGUCCGGGUGUGGUGUUGGCUUCCAGUCUCCUCUCUCAUGACUAGACUCAAUCAUAACUGGCUGAUGACACUCUGGAGAAGACGAUUUAUCGAACUGACUUUGGAAGAUCUAUCUUUAGUCAGAUAAGGAGAGUUCAGAGAAAGCCUCUCUCUUCAUUUGCUGUAUUUCAAGUGCCUACAGCUCAAAAUGCCAAAUCAGUAAUAUUGAUAAUCAAUAUGCCAGAGGGCACUUGCUGUGAUGAGCACUGGGUGUUAUAUGAAGUGAUGAAUCACUCAAUUCUACACCUGAAACUUAUACUACACUGUAUGUUAAUAACUGGAAUUUAAAUAAAAACUUGGAAAAGGAAAAAAAUCA
rnacentral:lncRNA from 12 species